UAGAUUUGAUAUCUUCCUCCGUGGUAACACCGCCUACACUCCUGUUUAUGAUAACUUGAUACCUUUUUUGAGUUUAACUAUGGGAGGUGGAGGCCAUUUUCCUGUUUAUGAUACAAUAAUUAUUAUCACUACUCAGAACAAACUGUAUAUUGCCUAGCAGUUGUCAAGAGUGCCGAAUUGAACAUAAUUGGACAGAAAUUACGUUUUAGUGCUGAAUUUAUUGAGAUGAAGCAACAAGCAUUGGACCUAUUUGUAAAUAGGAUAGCAUCACAUCAUGAACUUCAACAAAGUGAGCAUCUGAGGAUAUUUUUGAAGGCAGAAGAAGAGAUGACAUCUCUCAUCUUUGAUAGACUAAUUUAUU